rnacentral:lncRNA from 1 species
AUUUUAUCUUACCUCCUAUACAUUUCCAGGAAUAUGAUUGGCUAAAAGCGUCCGCGUGCAAACCGUGUAUAUUUGAUAUUAGGUCAGUAGGGGGGCGGGGUUUAUCUCAUACACGGUUAGUAGUGGAGUUACGUCCCUUUAUAUUCCAUAUUAGGUAAGAAGGGGGCGGGGCUUAUUUCAUACACGGUUAGUAAUGGUGUUAUGUCCCUUUAUAAAAAACAAAACGGUACUGAGAAAAAACUUAAAUGUUCCAACAGACGAAGAAAUUGAUGAUUAAGAUUGAUAUAAAUUCAUAAAACACAUUUAAACCUUACAAGUCGUUAUUGUUGGCAUCUGUUUUUGUACGAUCAAUGGAAGUAUUUUCUUAAUGCUAACAGUAUUAAAGACUUGAUCAUUUUGAGAAUCACUAGUCUUAAUUUCACACGUUAAGAUAGUCGGUAAGAUAAAUUCGUUACAUAGUGUGCUAGUGACGUAAUACGGUAUAUAUGGG